AUGCCUAAGAAACAACAACUCCAACAACAACAACAACAACAACAACAACAACAACAACAGCAGCAAAAACAAAAGCAUGACAAGAAUCAGCAAGAUGUCGAACUGAACCGGCUCGUCCGACACUCCCCUCUCCCUCCCCCUCACCACCCUCAGCUCCGGUCCCGCUCCCCGUCUCCAUCCUCCCCCAACGGUAGCGCCCUCGAACUGCCCAAUGUGCCAUCCUACCCACGCCUGCCGCCAAUUUUCAGCCCCCUAUCAAAACAGCCCAACUCACUGUCCCACCAGCUGUCAGGUCUCUCCAAUCCGGCAUUUUUCAUUGAAGAUGACUCAGACAUUUCCGCAAUAAGGCCCCCAGAGAGCUCUAGCCUCAGCCUUCGUCCAGCUGUCAAUGUAGAGGAUGUCGACUCAGAGCGUGAGAAGGGAGGGGCAGGAGGAGGAGGAGGAAGAAGAGGAGGAAGAGGGGAGGAACAGAGCAAUAUCCCCCAAAUUCUCACCACCCAGGACCCCAAACUUACCACUCUCACUGUCCCUGUGACCCCUUCCGUAGCUCGUCAAAGAAACCACGUUACCUGUUGCUUAGGAAAAUCUGAAAUUUCUUUCAAUUUGGUCCCAAGGUUAAGAAAUCUUUCCUGCACAUAAACGACAGUAAGAGCCGCAAACCACACCAGCAAACACGCAGUGUUUAUGCAGAACACAGUUUGUCACGUGAAUCAUUGUGGAAACCAAAUUCUUUGUUUGUGUUGUUGUGAUGUUCUGUUUGAUUUUGCAUGGCUUUCCCAGAUUUUGCGCUUUUGGCUCCUGUGUGAAUAUCGCCAUAUCGUAG
rnacentral:lncRNA from 1 species